rnacentral:rRNA from 1 species
GAUGAACGCUGGCGGCGUGCCUAAUACAUGCAAGUCGAGCGAACAGACGAGGAGCUUGCUCCUCUGACGUUAGCGGCGGACGGGUGAGUAACACGUGGAUAACCUACCUAUAAGACUGGGAUAACUUCGGGAAACCGGAGCUAAUACCGGAUAAUAUAUUGAACCGCAUGGUUCAAUAGUGAAAGACGGUUUUGCUGUCACUUAUAGAUGGAUCCGCGCCGCAUUAGCUAGUUGGUAAGGUAACGGCUUACCAAGGCAACGAUGCGUAGCCGACCUGAGAGGACGACGAGCCACACUGGGACUGAGACACGGCAAAGAGUCAGAGGGGAGGCAGCAGUGGGGAAUUGUGUAAAAUGGGGGCAACCAUGAUACAGCAAUGCAGGGUGCGGGAAGAAGGUAUUAGGGUUGUAAACCGCUUUUGGUCGGGAAGAAAUCCUCUGGGCGAAUACCCCGGGGGGAUGACGGUACCGGAAGAAGAAGCAACGGCUAACUACGUG